UCGAGACACCGAGGUCUGAUCAAAUAGAUAAGAUGACGGUAUCAUAUUGUCCCUUAACUCUGGUCCUCCAUUGUUAUUCUUGAGCAUCAUGAUUCGUUCCAAUUCCAUCAAGGCAGAACAAAUGUAUGCAUCCAUCCAUCCAGCCAUGGAGUCAAAUCAAGGCCGCAAACAAGUCAGUCAGUUCCAUUGUAUUUUCCUGUGGAUUGUCCACUCCGACGGGUUCACGGUGGCGUCACCGCUGGAGGAGACAAGAUCGAAGGGGGAGUCCUCGGCGAACUCCGUCGGCAUUGCCUUCCAGUGCAGGGAUGGUUCCCACUCUGCCUCUUUCAACACCUUCAGGAUCUCUUCCACCACAAUGUUGCUCCCUUCUUCAGACAGAUGCAGCCCAUCCCUACAACACGACAUCAAUUAUUGUCUUCUUGCUCAGGCCGGCGA
rnacentral:misc_RNA from 1 species